rnacentral:tRNA from 1 species
GCGCCCGUAGCUCAAUUGGAUAGAGCGUCUGACUACGGAUCAGAAGGUUGGGGGUUCGAGUCCCUCCGGGCGUG